AGUAUCAACGGCAUCACGAGAGCUAUACUGUCUCCCCCACCCCAUCAGUGAAACUGAUCCCCUCGUGAAGAAGCGAGGAUAUUACCAUAAGACGAGAAGACCCCAUGGAGCUUUAAACUUGCACCACUGCCUCCUCAUACACCAAAAUAACCCAGGCAACAUGGCAGCUAGUCUUUCGGCUGGGGCGACCACGGAGAAAAACAGAACCUCCAUGAUGAAUGGGGCCACCCCUAAUCAAAGAGCCACUGCUCUAAGAAUCAAUAAAUUGACGUAUUGACCCAAAAAUUUGAUCAACGAACCAAGUUACCCUGGGGAUAACAGC
rnacentral:rRNA from 1 species